UAGUUUUAACUUAAGUAGUUUAGGUAAACAUACCUAUGAUAUUUCAGAAAACACAACUAUCGUUUAAAAACUUGGUGAGAGUUCCUUGCAUUUUUUUAUUUAUAUUCUAUCUUUCACAAUUACAUUAUUCAAAGAACAUUUUAGACUUACUUUCACGAAUUGGACAAAUAUCGGGGACAUGCUUAAGGAGCUACAGCAGUGUUCCUUAUU